rnacentral:rRNA from 1 species
GUGGGGAAUCUUGCGCAAUGGGCGAAAGCCUGACGCAGCAACGCCGCGUGGGGGAUGAAGGCUCUCGGGUUGUAAACCCCUUUCAGCAGGGACGAAUCAAGACGGUACCUGCAGAAGAAGCCCCGGCUAACUACGUGCCAGCAGCCGCGGUAACACGUAGGGGGCAAGCGUUGUCCGGAUUUAUUGGGCGUAAAGAGCUCGUAGGUGGCUGAGUAAGUCGGAUGUCAAAUCCCCAGGCUCAACCUGGGAUCCCAUCCGAUACUGCUCUGGCUAGAGUCCGGUAGGGGAGCGUGGAAUUCCUGGUGUAGCGGUGAAAUGCGCAGAUAUCAGGAGGAACACCAGCGGCGAAGGCGGCGCUCUGGGCCGGUACUGACACUGAGGAGCGAAAGCGUGGGUAGCAAACAGGAUUAGAAACCCUUGUAGUCC